CAGAGUGAGGCCGACCCCGCGGAGGGUGAGCGAAGCAACAAAAAAGCCGUCCCAGUUCGGAUUGUAGUCUGCAACCCGACUACAUGAAGCUGGAAUCGCUAGUAAUCGCAGGUCAGCAUACUGCGGUGAAUACGUUCCCGGGUCUUGUACACACCGCCCGUCACACCAUGGGAGCCGGAAAUGCCCGAAGCCAGUGACCCAACCUUAGGGAGGGAGCUGUCGAAGGUGGAGCCGGUAACUGGGGUGAAGUCGUAACAAGGUAGC
rnacentral:rRNA from 1 species